CCUGGCUCAGAAUCAACGCUGGCGGCGUGCCUAACACAUGCAAGUCGAACGCGGUUACCUCGCAAGGGGUAACUGAGUGGCGAACGGGUGAGUAACACGUGGGUGACCUACCUUCGAGUGGGGGAUAACGUCCCGAAAGGGACGCUAAUACCGCAUAACAUCCCGUCCUUGAACGGAUGGAGAUCAAAGCCGGGGAUCGCAAGACCUGGCGUUUGAAGAGGGGCCCGCGUCCGAUUAGCUAGUUGGUGAGGUAACGGCUCACCAAGGCGACGAUCGGUAACCGGCCUGAGAGGGCGGACGGUCACACUGGGACUGAGACACGGCCCAGACUCCUACGGGAGGCAGCAGUGGGGAAUUGUUCACAAUGGGCGCAAGCCUGAUGACGCAACGCCGCGUGGAGGAUGAAGGUCUUCGGAUUGUAAACUCCUGUUGCCCGGGACGAAAAGCUUCGACCUAACACGUCG
rnacentral:rRNA from 1 species